CUCGUAGGCAUAUAGCUCAGUAACACGUGGCCAAACUACCCUACAGACCGCGAUAACCUCGGGAAACUGAGGCCAAUGGCGGAUAUAACUCUCAUGCUGGAGUGCCGAGAGUUAGAAACGUUCCGGCGCUGUAGGAUGUGGCUGCGGCCGAUUAGGUAGAUGGUGGGGUAACGGCCCACCAUGCCGAUAAUCGGUACAGGUUGUGAGAGCAAGAGCCUGGAGACGGUAUCUGAGACAAGAUACCGGGCCCUACGGGGCGCAGCAGGCGCGAAACCUUUACACUGCACGACAGUGCGAUAGGGGGACUCCGAGUGUGAGGGCAUAUAGCCCUCGCUUUUCUGUACCGUAAGGUGGUACAGGAACAAGGACUGGGCAAGACCGGUGCCAGCCGCCGCGGUAAUACCGGCAGUCCAAGUGAUGGCCGAUAUUAUUGGGCCUAAAGCGUCCGUAGCUUGCUGUGUAAGUCCAUUGGGAAAUCGACCAGCUCAACUGGUCGGCGUCCGGUGGAAACUACACAGCUUGGGGCCGAGAGACUCAACGGGUACGUC
rnacentral:rRNA from 1 species